UAGUUCAAAACCAAGUUCAGCGCCUCCAUCAAUAUUUUCUUCUGCACGGAGUUUAUUAUAUUAUUUUCCUUCGCUCCAUUUGGUGGUAUUUGUCCAAUCACUUCGAUUAGCUUCUCAAACUCAAACACCCCUCAAUUCUCAACAUUCCCACAUAGCUUUGUUCGCAUAUUCAAAACCCUUUCAAGAUUCAGGGUUUGCCAAGAUCCAUAUAUUCCCAUAAAGGCUGCGUCUGAUUGUUCUACUCUACUCUACAUUUCAUUAUUCAUUUGAUUCUUGAUGACUUGGGCUCUGGGUUUUGGCGUAAAAGGUGAAUUUGGGUUGGUGGGUAUUUGAAGAAAGAGCAGAAGGGUUUGUUUAUUUGUUGAUGGUGGCUUUGUGAUUCGUAGUGUGAACUGGUUUACUGGGUGUUUGAUAAAAAGCGCCAGAGGGGUUUUCUUGGGGUGGAAAUAUGGGACAUAGUUCGAAGAAGAAGAAGCGUGGAGGAGGAGGGAGUGGGAAGAAGAAGAAGGCCUUGAAAGAUCAUGGGGCUUAUGUUGGUGGUGAUGAUAAUGAACUUCUUUCUGAAGAGAUCACUGCCUUGUGUGCAAUAUUUCAAGACGAUUGCAAAGUUAUGUCUGGAUCCCAUCCUCAAAUCAUCAUUAAGCUUAGGCCUCACUCGAAGGAUAUGGGUUAUGAGGAUCUAGAUGUUUCUGCACUUCUUUUAGUUAGGUGCUUACCAGGGUAUCCUUACAAGUGUCCAAAGUUACAGAUAACUCCUGAGAAGGGUUUAUCACAAAGUGAUGCUGACAGGCUGCUAUCUCUUAUUCAUGAUCAGGCAAAUUCUAAUGCUCGAGAAGGACGGGUAAUGAUUUUCAAUUUAGUAGAGACAGCCCAGGAAUUCCUAUCUGAAGUUGUGCCAGUGAGCCAAUCACAUGGCUCGGUAAUAUGUCCGACUACGGGUAGCAGUGCUCAAUUGUUUCAGAAGGACAUUGCAAUUUCAAGUAACAAGAAGGGGCCUUUUGUUUAUGGUUUCAUAGACCUAUUCAGUGGUUCUGGAGAGUCUUGGAAUUGGGGUUUUGGAGUAGAUGAGACCAGUGGGAUAAAUCCUUCAGUCCCAUCGCACACAGGUGAUGGCUCCAAAGUCAAGCAUGAGAUUCAGGAAAAGAAACUUGAUAGGCAUGCAGAACCUUUGAAUUUACAAGAUAUAAAGAAAAGUUCAUUACUUUCCUCUACUGUCAAAUUAGACAGCCUUGAAGAAGACAGUGAAGAUGGCAACAAGAGCAUAGCUUCUACUAAUUCUAGUAGAUUUUUGUUGGAAGAAUUGGUAGGCAGUGGUGGUAAAGCUGAGAAAGAGAAUUUGGUUCUUGAGGAGGAUUCAACAGAAGAUGAUUGCGAAUUCGGAAGUGAACAAUCAGAGUCACUCUCGUUUGCUUCCUUGGGCCAUGAUCAAGUGUCUCAAACUGUUAAAAAGGAUCUUAUAAUGGUUCAUCUGCUCCGUCUUGCCUGCACUUCUAAGGGACCACUGGCUGAUGCUUUGCCACAAAUAACCACAGAAUUGGAAAACUUAGGGAUCUUAUCGGAAUGGGGAAGGGAUUUAGCAUCUAAACCACCUUCACUUUUGAAUAGAACUUUUAAUCAUGCUUUUAGAGAACAUAUGGUUUCAUCGCGAGUCUCUCAAUUUUGGGAACCCACAUCUGAUUUUGAAGGGCCAAGUACAUCUCUCCCAAGCUCUCGAUAUCUUAGUGACUUUGAGGAGCUACAGUCCCUUGGUCAUGGAGGCUUUGGCCAUGUUGUAUUGUGCAAAAAUAAACUAGAUGGAAGACAGUAUGCAGUGAAGAAAAUUCGACUCAAGGAUAAAAGCCUGCCAGUUAAUGACAGAAUAUUGAGGGAAGUAGCCACACUUUCUCGUUUACAGCAUCAACAUGUUGUACGAUACUAUCAGGCAUGGUUUGAAACAGGUAUUGUUGGUGCUCAUGGUGAUACCACUUGGGGUUCAAUGACUGCAGCCAGCUCCACUUUCAGCUUCAAAGGUACAAACUCAGCAGAUGCUCUUGGGCAUGAGAAUAAGCUUGAAUCGACAUAUCUGUACAUUCAAAUGGAAUAUUGCCCCAGGACUUUACGCCAGGUUUUCGAGUCGUAUAGUCGUUUUGACAAAGAAUUAGCAUGGCAUUUGUGUCGUCAAAUUGUUGAAGGCUUGGCACACAUACAUGGACAGGGAAUCAUUCAUCGGGACUUAACCCCAAGCAACAUAUUCUUUGAUGCACGCAAUGAUAUUAAAAUUGGGGAUUUUGGUCUGGCCAAGUUUUUGAAGUUGGAGCAGUUGGAUCAAGAACCUAGUUUUCCUCCAGAUACAGCUGGGGUUUCUCUUGAUGGUACUGGCCAAGUUGGUACAUAUUUUUACACUGCUCCUGAAAUUGAGCAAGGAUGGCCAAAGAUUGAUGAAAAGGCUGAUAUGUACAGCUUGGGAGUUGUAUUCUUCGAGCUAUGGCACCCAUUUGGGACGGCAAUGGAACGACACCAUGUCCUAUCUGAUUUGAAACAGAAGGGCGAACUUCCUCCUGCUUGGGUUGCUGAAUUUCCUGAACAGGCAUCUUUGUUGCGACGCUUAAUGUCUCCAAGUCCAUCAGAUCGUCCUUCUGCCACAGAACUUCUAAAGCAUGCAUUUCCACCACGAAUGGAAUCUGAGUUAUUAGACAAUAUUUUACGAACAAUGCAAACUUCAGAGGACAGAAGUGUAUAUGAUAAAGUUCUGAAUGCCAUCUUCGAUGAGGAGAUGUUAAGCAUGAAAGAUCAGCAACAUCAUGAUGGAAGAUUGGGAUCUGUAAGUGAUAUUUCUGCUAUUCAGUAUGCAGAUUUACACACUGAGGCUCGUGAUUAUGUUGUUGACAUCACAAGGGAGGUGUUCAGACAGCAUUGUGCGAAACACCUCGAAGUAAUAACCAUGCGUUUGCUAGAUGACUGCCAACAGUUCAAUAGGAACACUGUCAAACUUUUAACCCAUGGAGGAGAUAUGCUUGAACUUUGUCAUGAGCUGCGCUUGCCUUUUGUUAGUUGGGUGGUCUCCAGCCAGAAAUCUUCAUUCAAACGUUAUGAAGUAUCAUAUGUGCACAGAAGACCUGUUGGACAUUCACCUCCAAGUCGCUACCUGCAGGGCGACUUCGAUAUUAUUGGAGGUGCAUCAGCAUUAACAGAGGCAGAAGUAAUCAAGGUGACAAGGGACAUUGUUGCUCCUUUUUUUAAUUCAGAUUUUUGUGAUAUUCAUCUAAACCAUGGGGACUUACUGGAAGCAAUUUGGUCUUGGGUAGGAGUCAAGUCAGAGCAUAGACAGAAAGUAGCAGAGCUCCUGUCUAUGAUGGGCUCUUUACGUCCUCAAUCCUCUGAGCGGAAAUCCAAAUGGGUGGUAAUCCGGCGUCAGCUUUUGCAGGAACUUAAUUUACCAGAAGCUGUUGUAAAUAGGUUGCAAACUGUUGGUUUAAGGUUUUGUGGAGCUGCAGAUCAGGCACUUGCUAGACUGAGGGGAGCCCUGCCAACUGAUAAACCAACGCGGAAGGCACUUGAUGAGUUGUCAGAUCUCUACAGCCACUUGAGAGUUUGGAGGAUCGAAAGACACGUUUACAUAAACCCACUUAUGCCACCAACUGAGGGUUAUCACAGAGAUUUGUUUUUCCAGGUAUAUUUAGUGAAGGAUAACAAUCCUGGAUCACUUACCGAAGGUACACUGCUUGCUGUUGGCGGUCGCUAUGACUAUUUGCUUCGUCAAAUGUGGGGUCUUGAACAUGUAGAAAUCAAGUCCUCCUGGUGCUGUUGGAGCCAGCCUUGCAUUAGAGACAAUAAUUCAGCAUUCUCCCGUCGAUGUUAAACCAAUCAGAUAUGAAGUUAGCAACGAUGUUCUUGUUUGCUCGAAAGGAGGUGGUGGUCUAUUGGCAGAGCGCAUGGAACUAGUCGCUGAGCUAUGGGAGGAGAACAUCAAGGCUGAGUUUGUUCCAAUACCAGAUCCAAGUUUAACAGAGCAGUAUGAAUAUGCAAACGAACAUGAUAUAAAGUGCCUUGUCAUCAUAACAGACACAGGGGUUUCACAGAAAGGUUCUGUUAAGGUCCGUCAUCUUGAACUCAAGAAAGAAAAGGAAGUUGAAAGAUCAAAUCUUGUCAGGUUUCUGCUGGAUGCAAUGGCGAUACAAUUUAAAAAUCCUUCCAUUUGGAAUUAGGCUUGUCCUUCCAAAGCAAUACUUUUCUGUUUUCCAGCAACCCUGUUGACUCCAGGAGAACCACACUGUUGAUUGAGUUAUGGCUCAUCUUCGGAAAUCGAGAAAAGCAACAUGAAGUUUUGCAGCGUUUUCUAUUCUUGUCUGAAGAGUUUUUAGGGUUCCUCACUUUGUAUUUGAAUUUGAAAAUUUGUAUAUAUUUCAUAGGUCAACUUGUUUAAUGAAUCAGAAGUAGAAAUUAUUGAGAGACAGAUAAAUUUUUUGUUCUUGAUAUGUUAAAAGCGUUCUGCAACAAUAUGUGAAAAAGCAUCUCUUGCAUUUGGCCUGACAUGGACUUUUCAAUUAUGGCAUGGUUUCAGAGCA